rnacentral:rRNA from 1 species
AUUGAACGCUGGCGGCAGGCCUAACACAUGCAAGUCGAACGGUAGCACAGAGAGCUUGCUCUCGGGUGACGAGUGGCGGACGGGUGAGUAAUGUCUGGGAAACUGCCCGAUGGAGGGGGAUAACUACUGGAAACGGUAGCUAAUACCACAUAACGUCGCAAGACCAAAGUGGGGGACCUUCGGGCCUCACACCAUCGGAUGUGCCCAGAUGGGAUUAGCUAGUAGGUGGGGUAAUGGCUCACCUAGGCGACGGUCCCUAGCUGGUCUGAGAGGAUGACCAGCCACACUGGAACUGAGACACGGUCCAGACUCCUACGGGAGGCAGCAGUGGGGAAUAUUGCACAAUGGGCGCAAGCCUGAUGCAGCCAUGCCGCGUGUAUGAAGAAGGCCUUCGGGUUGUAAAGUACUUUCAGCGGGGAGGAAGGCGGUGAAGUUAAUAACUUCACCGAUUGACGUUACCCGCAGAAGAAGCACCGGCCAACUCCGUGCCAGCCGCCGCGGUAA